rnacentral:rRNA from 1 species
GAUGAACGCUGGCGGCGUGCCUAAUACAUGCAAGUCGAGCGAACAGACGAGGAGCUUGCUCCUCUGACGUUAGCGGCGGACGGGUGAGUAACACGUGGAUAACCUACCUAUAAGACUGGGAUAACUUCGGGAAACCGGAGCUAAUACCGGAUAAUAUAUUGAACCGCAUGGUUCAAUAGUGAAAGACGGUUUUGCUGUCACUUAUAGAUGGAUCCGCGCCGCCUUAGCUAGUUGGUAAGGUAACGGCUUACCAAGGCAACGAUGCGUAGCCGACCUGAGAGGGUGAUCGGCCACACUGGAACUGAGGCACGGUCCAGACUCCUACGGGAGGCAGCAGUAGGGAAUCUUCCGCAAUGGGCGAAAGCCUGACGGAGCAACGCCGCGUGAGUGAUGAAGGUCUUCGGAUCGUAAAACUCUGUUAUUAGGGAAGAACAAAUGUGUAAGUAACUAUGCACGUCUUGACGGUACCUAAUCAGAAAGCCACGGCUAACUACGUG